CCUGCAGCGUUUUGCUUUAGCGUAGCGCGUUUAACCAGUGGCCCUGCCCACACCGAAAACUCAUUGGACUGAAGUAGCCAUUCUCAUGUAUAUUAAUUAUCAAAUAUGGACGAGCGGACACUGAUUAUGUAAAUUUAGAAUCGGAUUACAAACAAAUCCCUCAAAUUAAGCGUCACGGACAGGUCAAGGAGACGGUCGCCAGUCAGAUCACCAGCCGCAAACGGAUGGCCCUUCCACACCGGUGAAGAAACCUUCACCUGCCCUGACCUCGCCAACACAAGCAGUCCAAACAGACAGAGCGCAAAAUGGCAAAAGAGAUAUUAAACAAUGCAGUUUCCUUCAAGUAUUUCCUAGUGCUCAUGCUUAUGGACCGUCCUACUUACACAUGUGUGGUGACAGCCUGGUACUGCUGUGUGCAUCCAGGACUAAAUUUGACAGUUGGCUACAUGUGGCAGCCUCUUCUCUCUCCCAGCCUUCGUCUCUUUCUGUCUCCCAAGAGCGCCGUCAGUAUGAAGAGGCCCGAGGACGCCAUCUCAUCUUCUCUCAGCCGGUGUCAAGCAGCAAUCCUGCAGGGCCCGUCCCUGCUUAAUUCAGCUUAG
rnacentral:lncRNA from 1 species